GCGCGAAUGGCUCAGAGGUGGAGCGUCGCCUUGCCAAGGCGAAGGUCGCGGGUUCGAAUCCCGUUUCGCGCU
rnacentral:tRNA from 1 species